rnacentral:rRNA from 1 species
UUUGUUUUACCCCGCUGAACUUAAGCAUAUCAAUAAGCGGAGGAAAAGAAACCAACAGGGAUUGCCCNUAGUAACGGCGAGUGAAGCGGCAACAGCUCAAAUUUGAAAUCUGGCUCCCUUGGGGGUCCGAGUUGUAAUUUGCAGAGGGUGCUUUGGCGUUGGCCCCGACCCAAGUUCCUUGGAACAGGACGUCACAGAGGGUGAGAACCCCGUACAUGGCCGGCGGCCUUCGCCGUGUAAAGCCCCUUCGACGAGUCGAGUUGUUUGGGAAUGCAGCUCUAAAUGGGAGGUAAAUUUCUUCUAAAGCUAAAUACUGGCCAGAGACCGAUAGCGCACAAGUAGAGUGAUCGAAAGAUGAAAAGCACUUUGGAAAGAGAGUCAAAAAGCACGUGAAAUUGUUGAAAGGGAAGCGCUUGCAGCCAGACUUGCCUGUAGUUGCUCAUCCGGGCCUCCGCCCGGUGCACUCUUCUGCAGGCAGGCCAGCAUCAGUUCAGGCGGUCGGAUAAAGGUCCCGGGAAUGUGGCUCUCUUCGGGGAGUGUUAUAGCCCGGGGCGUAAUGCGGCCAGCUUGGACUGAGGUCCGCGCAUCUGCUAGGAUGCUGGCGUAAUGGAUGUAAGCGGCCCGUCUUGAAACACGGACCAAGGAGUCUAACAUCUAUGCGAGUGUUUGGGUGUCAAGCCCGAGCGCGCAAUGAAAGUGAACGGAGGUGGGAACCCCUCGGGGCGCACCAUCGACCGAUCCUGAUGUCUUCGGAUGGAUUUGAGUAAGAGCAUAGCUGUUGGGACCCGAAAGAUGGUGAACUAUGCCUGAAUAGGGUGAAGCCAGAGGAAACUCUGGUGGAGGCUCGCAGCGGUUCUGACGUGCAAAUCGAUCGUCAAAUUUGGGCAUAGGGGCGAAAGACUAAUCGAA